UAAACCCAAGCUGCAUCUAAACUUACAGCUCGCCAGAAAACUACAGGUGAAAAACCCAAAACUCAAAGGACUUGACGGUGUCCCACAUCCCCCUAGAGGAGCCUGUCCUAUAAUCGAUACUCCACGCUAUACCUCACCCACUCUUGCAUAUCAGCCUAUAUACCGCCGUCGUCAGCCUACCUCAUGAGAGCAAAGUCGUAGACAAAACAGCCAAAUCGCUAAUACGUCAGGUCAAGGUGUAGCUAAUGGGUGGGAAGAGAUGGGCUACAUUUUCUAAACUAGAAAAUCACCACAGCAGCAUGAAACACCUAGCUAGAAGGCGGAUUUAGCAGUAAACUAGACAAUGAGCUGUCAUCUUGAAAU
rnacentral:rRNA from 1 species